GUGGGGAAUAUUGCACAAUGGGCGCAAGCCUGAUGCAGCGACGCCGCGUGAGGGAUGACGGCCUUCGGGUUGUAAACCUCUUUCAGUAGGGAAGAAGCGAGAGUGACGGUACCUGCAGAAGAAGCGCCGGCUAACUACGUGCCAGCAGCCGCGGUAAUACGUAGGGCGCAAGCGUUAUCCGGAUUUAUUGGGCGUAAAGAGCUCGUAGGCGGUUUGUCGCGUCUAUCGUGAAAGUCCGAGGCUCAACCUCGGAUCUGCGGUGGGUACGGGCAGACUAGAGUGAUGUAGGGGAGACUGGAAUUCCUGGUGUAGCGGUGAAAUGCGCAGAUAUCAGGAGGAACACCGAUGGCGAAGGCAGGUCUCUGGGCAUUUACUGACGCUGAGGAGCGAAAGCAUGGGGAGCGAACAGGAUUAGAAACCCCUGUAGUCC
rnacentral:rRNA from 1 species